CCCUUAGAUGUUCUGGGCCGCACGCGCGCUACACUGAUGCAUUCAACGAGUUUCUUCCUGGUCCGAGAGGAAUGGGUAACCUUUUGAAAGUGCAUCGUGAUAGGGAUAGACUAUUGCAAUUAUUGGUCUUCAACGAGGAAUUCCUAGUAGACGUAGUUCAUCAGACUGCAUCGAUUACGUCCCUGCCCUUUGUACACACCGCCCGUCGCUACUACCGAUUGAACGGUUUAGUGAGGGCCUCGGAUUGGUCUCGGCCCGCUCUUCACCGGGCGGCGCCGUUGGUCGAGAAGACGCUCGAACUUGAUCGUUUAGAGGAAGUAAAAGUCGUAACA
rnacentral:rRNA from 1 species